rnacentral:ribozyme from 10 species
CAAAGUGCUGGGAUUACAGGUGUGAGCCACCAUGCCCGGCCAAGUCUGUCUUUUAAUUACGAGCGCCACACAAGCUUGUAACACAUUUAAACAAUAAAAAGGUAAAGGACACGGAGAGUGGUGGUUCCUGUCCUGGUCCCUGCCACUCACACGUACAAACGCCCUCCCGGGACAGUGCUGUCACCCUCUGCCAAUGCUCUCGGUUGGCUCCACUGCCCAUUUUCUAAAAGCCCCUCCACUGCCCUCUCCCUCAGCGUCCUUUGAGCUCGUGCUCCUGGCUCACGGCUGCACGGGGUGACAUGCGUGGCCCUCACCACUCUCUCAUGCGUUAGGCACCAUCUAUCUACUCACAAUUCUUCGCUGAGUCCUUGUGGAGUCAGUGUGGAGGUGCCUCAGCCUGCACGAGCGCAGAGCUGCCUGGAGGACUCAUGGUUGUGACUGAGACCAUCAGAAUGGGCGGGAGGCAGAUGGCGACCUUCGCCAUACCAUGAACAUGGCCUUGCUGAGCUGGUGAGCUCUCUGCCCUGUGAGCCCCCAUCUGGUGCAGGGAUGUGGAGCUGAGAGGCUCUUGGUGAUGCAUCAGGAGCUGGUGCUGGGUCCAUGAGUGCCCUCUCCACACCUGGGCCGGCAGGGCCCGCACCAGCAGCUGGCAUCCAUUCUGACGAGAGAGUUGCUAAGCACGCUGGAUACCAGCCACACAGCCACAGAGGCUCUGCAGAGAUGACACACAGCCGUGAAGGGCUCCAGAGAGCUUUUAUGGAGCUGGCCUUGGGGAAGGAGCAGAGAGGAAGGGUGCGACCCGUGGGGUGCUGGCUCAUGGCCCGCCAGGCUGGUGCUGCUUGCUGCAGUGGUGUCCUUCAAGGUCAAACCCCCACCCCAUGGCACUUGUGUGAAAAACAUCCGUCUUCCUGUCGUCAUCACUGAGUGAGCCCACGGUCACCAAUCCCUGGGUCACAGCUCCCCAAAACCAAGAGAAACAGCCAGCGGGACAAGGCCAGGGCAGCCCUAAACAUGCCACAUCACCCCAGUGCUAUGCGAAGGAAGCUUCAGGGGCAUCUUCAAGGAAAUGUGUGAAUCUGAAUAAAUUUUACAGAUUAAAACUUUUACAAAAUUUAUAAAAUUUUAAUCAUUCCAAUUAAGCAUUUAGAACACUACUUGGUUAGUGGGAAAUUUAUAGCUCUAAAUGCCCAUCCUCAAAAGAAGAAAUGCUUAAAAUCAACGACCUGAAGUUCCACCUUAAAAUGCUAGAAAAAGAAGAGCAAAAGUAACACAAAGUAAGUGUUAACAAAAAAUAAAGAACAGAAAUCAAUGAAAUAAAGAGCAGAUGACAGAGAAAUUUAGCAAAACCAAAAGUUGGUUCUUUGAAGGGACUGGCAAACUUGAUAAACUCCAACCUAGACUGAUCAAGAAGAGAGAGAGCACAUGUUAGCAAGACCAGGAAUGGAGGAGGGUCAUCAUAACAGACCCUACAGGCAUCAAGAGAAUCAGCAGCAGAUGGUCGUUGUCUGGGCCCCAGCUCAGACUAAAGAGAGCUUUUUGGACAGAAACCUGUGUAUCAAUUGUGAUAGUUACACGAGUAUUUCCAUGGUAUUUCCAUUUGUUAAAGAUGCAAAAUUUUGUUGGAUGUAUGUUAUACUUCAAUGAACUUGAUAUCAACAGUAAAAAGGUUUUCCUGCCUUCUUAAACAGAGACAAUUUUUCAUGUUCCUCUGCU